rnacentral:misc_RNA from 1 species
GAUGAAGAACGCAGCGAAAUGCGAUACGUAAUGUGAAUUGCAGAAUUCAGUGAAUCAUCGAAUCUUUGAACGCAUAUUGCGCUCUUUGGUAUUCCGAAGCGCAUGCUUGUUUGAGUAUCAGUAAACACCUCAAAGACUUCAAUUUGUUUUGAAUGGCUUUGGACUUGAGCAAUCCCAACACCAGUCUUUACGAUCGGUGGAGGGUUGCUUGAAAUGCAGGUGCAGCUGGACAUUCUCCUGAGCUAAAAGCAUAUUUAUUUAGUCCCGUCAAACGGAUUAUUACUUUUGCUGCAGCUAACAUAAAGGGAGUUUGACCGUAUUGGCUGACUGAUGCAGGAUUUCACAAGGGUCGGCAACGAUUCUUGUAAAACUCGAUCUCAAAUCAAGUAAGACUACCCGCUGAACUUAAGCAUAUCAAUAAGCGGAGGA